AAAACGACUCUCGGCAACGGAUAUCUCGGCUCUCGCAUCGAUGAAGAACGUAGCGAGCUGCGAUACUUGGUGUGAAUUGCAGAAUCCCGUGAACCAUCGAGUCUUUGAACGCAAGUUGCGCCCGAAGCCAUUAGGCCGAGGGCACGUCUGCCUGGGCGUCACGC
rnacentral:rRNA from 2 species